AUGAGAGUUCGAUCCUGGCUCAGGAUGAACGCUGGCGGCGUGCCUAACACAUGCAAGUCGAACGAGAUGCGUAUUGGAAAGCUUCGGCCGGAAGAUGCGUUAUCUAGUGGCGGACGGGUGAGUAACACGUGGGUAACCUGCCUUAUGGAGGGGGAUAACAGAGAGAAAUCACUGCUAAUACCGCAUAAGCACACAUUGCCGCAUGGCAGAGUGUGAAAAGAUUUAUCGCCAUAAGAUGGACCCGCGUCUGAUUAGCCAGUUGGCAGGGUAAAAGCCUACCAAAGCAACGAUCAGUAGCCGAUCUGAGAGGAUGACCGGCCACAUUGGGACUGAGACACGGCCCAAACUCCUACGGGAGGCAGCAGUGGGGAAUAUUGCACAAUGGGGGAAACCCUGAUGCAGCGACGCCGCGUGAGUGAAGAAGUAUUUCGGUAUGUAAAGCUCUAUCAGCAGGGAAGAUAAUGACAGUACCUGACUAAGAAGCCCCGGCUA
rnacentral:rRNA from 1 species